rnacentral:rRNA from 1 species
GACAGAGGUGCCGAGCGUUAGGCGGAAUCACUGGGCUUAAAGCGUGUGUAGGCGGACCGUUAAGUACAUUGUGAAAUCCCCCGGCUCAACCGGGGAACGGCUGGGUAUACUGGCGGUCUUGAGCCAUCCAGGGGCAGUCGGAACAGACGGUGGAGCGGUGAAAUGCGUAGAUAUCGUCUGGAACGCCGAAGGUGAAAACAGACUGCUGGGGAUGAGCUGACGCUGAGACACGAAAGCCAGGGGAGCGAACGGG